GGGGGUGUAAAAUUGUAAGAAAAUUGUCUAAUUUGAUUAACUUUGUUUCUACUUCCUAUUUUCAGUUGUUUUGGGGAAAUAUAAAUCCUGUAAAUGCAAAAUAGUAAAUACUGUAUCAAAUAUGUGCACUUUGAAGUGUGUGCUUUGCUUGUACAAUUGUAAAUAAUCUGAAAAAUAGAGGUACCUUAAAAUGAUUUAAAAAAAUAUAUAUUGAUCUUGUUGAAAUAUUAAUGUCGCUUUUUGAGCUGGAUGUAGGAUAAAAACUAAAUGUUUUGAUUUUGAAUAUUUUUUUUUCUAUUCUGUUGUGCAGAAUUGCUUCUCCCUCACUUUGGGACAGGGAAGGUUGUCUGAUUGUAACUUUUUAAAAGUCAUUCUCAUUCCAUGUCCUUGUGUUUUUCAACCCCUGGUAGACAAUGUUUUCUGUUGGCCAACCUCUUCACUGUGCACAGUGAGAAAAGGGAAGAACCUAUCUGUCGUACAAACACACAUCCUUAAAUGAAAGCACAGUCGGUACUAUUAUCUGACAGACUGUGCUUAUAGCAGUCUGUGUGAUUUAGCCCAUACAAGAAUUCUUUAUCACAGUAAAGCACAUUUUUAAGCACAGGAACAUCAAAUCUUUCUCACACAACCAAUUUCAAGUCCAUAGCAGCAUACUGUAUAAUUGUACCAGACAUAAACCUUUCAUGUUUGGAGUGAAGGUGAUUUAAGCAGUGUUGAUAUUCUGUUUAGUUUUUUCUUUUUGAAGGUUUGUCUUUCAUGAAGUUGUACGUCAUCUGAACUUUCGUGGCCCCCAGCACUAAACUUGACAAAUCAAAAUUCCUUUGGUAGGCUUUACCAGUGUUUAGACUCAAAUAUAAUAGUGUAGAUAUUUGUACACAUUUCAGCAAGAAAAUUAGUUUUCUGGCACAUACUGUAUAACAUACUGUGCAUUGUCUUUUUAUCAGUUGAUCACACGUGGGCUGCAUUUCUGUGCCAUUAAUUUGUUUCAACCUGGCAGUUUGUUUGACUUGUACUUUAAUUAAACACUUGACAUUAUAAUUGUUACUGAGGAAGUGUAGCUGGUCUUGAAACUAUAUAACUGGGAAUAAUAAUCUGAUACCACUGACAUUAGACAAAGUACUCAUAGCAACCCGCAUCUGAUCUGGCUAAUGAAGUCUAGGUAUGUACAUUUUGAGCUAGUCUAUGCUAGUAGGCCUUUCUAAUGCAAAAUGCUAAUACUGUUGUCUUUGCAGAUUGGGUAUUGAUAUAUUAUCUGGCUGGCACUGAGUUUGUAUGAGAAAGUGUUUGUUUGUGAGAAGUUAACCAAACACAACUGCAAAAUUGACUGACGGUUGAAGUAAAGUAAACCAAAGGGUGAUUAGCCAGCCAGGUUUGUGCAGCAUGAUCUGAAAAUGAUUCUGUUAUUGGUUUCUUUCUCCUGAAGAUGAUUGCACUGCUUACAGUACGAAAGUGUUUAACUUUUUCUUCUUUUGCGCGCACUACUAAAGCCCUGUUGUAAUGUUUGGCUGUUCUUGUGUUACUGUGCACAGACAGUCUCAUAUCAAGCGGUCUCGUUCUCCCUGCCCAGUUCGCUUCUUUCUGUUACGUCUCACCAGUUUGAUAGUGCCAUGUAUUUUUUGCAAAGGUUGCAGCUUGUUGUAAAUUGACUGUAAAGUGAUGUUACAAUGCACCAACUGACUGGAAUGAGAUGAACCAAUUGUCUCACUAUCAAAUCACUGUGUUAAAUUAACUCAUUUUUACGCUAACAGCAGUGGACAAUCGAUGACUUGAUGGGGAGAAUAACCUAACGGUAACAGUUGUUCAUCGAGGUUUCUUUGAGAGGGCUUUUGAUUUGUCUUAACUUUUCUUCCAUUUAAGACUGGAAUCAAGCGUACAUGUCAACUGUUGAUCAUUUAAGUUACUCUUGUGUCAUGAUGUAAAACUGUCUAAUUUGGAGAGAAAAAAAUGUAGCUUAUUGAAAAAUAAAGAUUUAGGCACUGUUAAUGAGUUGUCUCGUGAUUGUGGUACACACAAUCUGGGGGUUGGUCCAGAAAGCAGGAUGAAUGAGUGAGUUAUCCAGCUAACUGUCCUAAAUAUUGUGUACAAAACAUUAGGGCAUUGACACCAGGUGUCUUUCCAUUACAUAGACUGACCAGGUGAAUCUAGGUGAUGGCUAUGAUCCCUUGAUGUCACUUAAAUCCACUUCAAUCACUGUAUGAAGGGGAGUUGAUGGAUUUAAGUCUUGAGACAUGGAUUGUGUAUGUGUGCCAUUCAAAGGGUGAAUGGGCAAGACAAAAUACUGAAGUGCCUUCUGAACGGGGUAUGGUAGCAGGUGCCAGGUGCACCGGUUAGUGUAUCAAGAGCUGCAAUGCUGCAGUGUAUCAAGAAUGGUCCACCACACAAAGGACAUCCAGCCAACUUGACACAACUGUGGGAAGCAUUGGAGUCAACAUGGGCCAGCAUCCCUAUGGAACACUUUCGACACCUUGUAGAGUCCAUACCCUGAGGAAUUGAGGCUGUUCUGAGUGCUAAAGGGGGUGCAACUCAAUAUUUGGAAGUGCUCCUAAUAUUUUGUGUACUGGGUAGACUUGAAAUGGUAUAAUUGACUCAACAACCCAUAUCAAAGUUUAAUAUUUCUAAAUGAACCAGAAAAUAAAGGCAUGACUGUCAGCUUCUUAGCUGGCUAAAUGAAUCCUGCUUUCUGGGACACCCCACAGCUUCUCUCCUAUUUAUUUUCUAAUGCUAGAUUUGCUUUCUCGCAAAAAUUGCCUGGAAUCCUGUGUUCUACCAGGGUUGGUUGUUUUUGGCCAUCCUAUUCAAACUGCACAUGUUAUAAUGCCAUGAGCC
ensembl:lncRNA